rnacentral:rRNA from 1 species
UACGUAGGGUGCAUGCGUUAAUCGGAAUUACUGGGCGUAAAGCGUGCGCAGGCGGUUUUGUAAGUCUGUCGUGAAAUCCCCGGGCUCAACCUGGGAAUGGCGAUGAAGACUGCAAGGCUAGAGUUUGGCAGAGGGGGGUAGAAUUCCACGUGUAGCAGUGAAAUGCGUAGAUAUGUGGAGGAACACCCGAUGGCGAAGGCAGCCCCCUGGGUCAAAACUGACGCUCAUGCACGAAAGCGUGGGGAGCAAACAGG